AUUGAACGCUGGCGGCAGGCCUAACACAUGCAAGUCGAACGGUAACAGGAAGAAGCUUGCUUCUUUGCUGACGAGUGGCGGACGGGUGAGUAAUGUCUGGGAAACUGCCUGAUGGAGGGGGAUAACUACUGGAAACGGUAGCUAAUACCGCAUAACGUCGCAAGACCAAAGAGGGGGACCUUCGGGCCUCUUGCCAUCGGAUGUGCCCAGAUGGGAUUAGCUUGUUGGUGGGGUAACGGCUCACCAAGGCGACGAUCCCUAGCUGGUCUGAGAGGAUGACCAGCCACACUGGAACUGAGACACGGUCCAGACUCCUACGGGAGGCAGCAGUGGGGAAUAUUGCACAAUGGGCGCAAGCCUGAUGCAGCCAUGCCGCGUGUAUGAAGAAGGCCUUGGGGUUGUAAAGUACUUUCAGCGGGGAGGAAGGGAGUAAAGUUAAUACCUUUGCUCAUUGACGUUACCCGCAGAAGAAGCACCGGCUAACUCCGUG
rnacentral:rRNA from 1 species